AGGGUGUUCUUUACUGGACGGUGUACGUUCUGCGGUGGGAGCAGCCUAUAAAACAGCACCGCAUGCACAGGGCCUGGAGAGCAUCACUGAGCAGAGGAGAUGUUUAUCUGGAGAGGACGAUCCUCCCUACAUUAAUCUGCCAAUAAAGGCAGUCAUGUCCUGGACCUUAGAGAUAUGGAAGAGCUCAUUUUUUCCCAACAACACGGCAUGAGCGAUUGGCCGCCCUACUGCAGUUGCCCCUGUCACCAUCAGAACAAGUGGCAUAUGCUGCCUACCACAGGCUUCUGCACCUGAAGAUGACCUUUAUUUCCAGCGCGGCCGCCUGCAGCGAGCGAGUCGUGUCACUGUGCAUUUGCGUCUAAUGGCUCUGUGUGUCAAGAGCAUAUGGCCUGUUAGCUCUCUUCACACGUAUGCCGGAUAUACAUCAGUCCUGACCGCUUCUUUAUUGUCUUUCAUUCCCAGUGACACUGCCGAGGGGAACAAACAGCUCUUGUCGUCUGCCUGAACACCAC
ensembl:lncRNA